rnacentral:rRNA from 1 species
UACGGGGGGGGCAAGCGUUGUUCGGAAUUACUGGGCGUAAAGGGCUCGUAGGCGGCCAACUAAGUCAGACGUGAAAUCCCUCGGCUUAACCGGGGAACUGCGUCUGAUACUGGAUGGCUUGAGUUCGGGAGAGGGAUGCGGAAUUCCAGGUGUAGCGGUGAAAUGCGUAGAUAUCUGGAGGAACACCGGUGGCGAAGGCGGCAUCCUGGACCGACACUGACACUGAGGAGCGAAAGCGUGGGGAGCAAACAGG